ensembl:lncRNA LINC01539 long intergenic non-protein coding RNA 1539
AAGAAAGAAAAGACCAUGGAUCUACUAGUUGCAGAUUUCAGCAGUAAUGCCAAGGGGGCAAGAAGUGACCAGCAGAACAAUUAGGCCAUGGCAACAGAAGCCAACUACAACCCAUGUUCCAAUCUAUGACCUCCCUCUCCUGCUGGUACAAGGAUAUGAAUGUGGCUGUAGCAUCAUUUUUGGAAGCCAGAAUGGUAAUACUGAAAAUCACUGCUUGUCUCAAGAUCCAACUUCUGGAAAUCUCAACCAUUCUGAAUACAGCCAUCAUUCUUAAAAUUGAAGAGAACUGUUUUACAAGAUCUUGACUUGUAAAGAAACCAAGUUUAUUAAGAUCUGGAGUCUGGGAAGUUCAAGAGCAUGGCACCAACAUCUGGCAAGGGCUUUCAUUCUGCAUCAUCUCAUGGAGGAAAAUAAAAAGGAGGCUGGAUGCUCCUGUGAAGUACGUCUUUUAUCUACUUGCUAUCUUUGCAAUUCCUUCAUGCUACAAUGAGAGAUAGAGUUUAAACCUGAAAACAUUCUUGGAAAAGGAAUCUUCAUUAAUUCAAAUAUACCACAAGAUUCACCACCAUCACUACUCUAAGUAUUUUUCUUCUUGAGAAAGAGAAGGAGAGGGAAAGCAAGGAAGAGGAAGAGAAAGAGAAAUGGAUAAAAACAUGGUCAAGUAGAAGAGUCUGUGAUUUCAGGUAAAUCCAGAUUUGGAGCUUAAAUGACUCAAAUGCUUUGCCUACAUUGAUCCUACAUUCAGGCUGCUUACAUAUCUCUUGGCUUCUCUGAGAACCAGAUUGUCACCACUUAAAGUGUCUUCCAGAGUCCUCACGAGUAUCAGAGAAGGCAUAAUCUGUACACGUGGCUUCAUUUAAAAUGAAAAUAUCAAGCAGUGUCAUUUUCACAAGUAUCCCCACACUGUCUGAGGCUGAAAAGAAGAGUGUAGCUAUGCACACUGCAGUGAGAAGAAAAUUUCAGCUCAAUUGGAGGAUGUAAAGAUUGAAAUACCACUGCUCCUAGUUCUGAUGCAAAAUUGAAAAGAGUGCACUGGGUCUUCAAAUGGCAUAUUGACAAGGAGAAAGAGGAAAGGAUGCCCCAGGACAGCCUGGGGGUCAAGGCUGGGCUCAGGCAUGCCUGGACAAGCCAUGCAAGUUGUCUCCGGACUUGAACCACGUAUCAGAGGAGCUAUUUGAGGAGCCACAUCAGCAUACCUGCUUCUGUGGGCCCCCAGGCUGUGGUGCUCAGCCCUUGCACUAUGAAACAUUUUUUUUUUCCAGAAGCCAAAGCUUUGAGCAUCUCCUCCCAUGUAGAGAGUGUAUAUGUUUACGUCCAUGUCUUUCGCCAUGUGAACGCAUGCAACCACCACCUCAAAUAUCAUAAAUCCUCUCUCUCCCCCUUUCUGUCUGCCUGUUUAUCUACAAUCUGUCUAUUUAAAUUCUUUUUAAACAAGAAGGGAAUAUCUUUAUGCCUGUUUGUAGGGAUAUUCUACAUCCAUCUGUUAUUUACAUCAUUCGUUUUCCUGAGGUGUCUCCAACAAAUCCUGGCUGGAUGCACUGUAUGUGUUAUUAAUAAAACAGCUGUAAAAAUA